CAGAGAGAGGUGGGCAAAGAGAAGCUGGGGGUGGGAAUGAAGGAGAGCAAGAAGGUCAUUGAUUGAUUUUAUUUACCCUUUUCCGCAUCCCAGGAGCUACGUUUUCUUUCCUCCUCCCCCGAUCCCCAGCAUGUUAUAACUCUAGUGAAAUCAAAGUGAUUAGAAAAGCAAGGAAUUGAAUAGGGGCUAAAUUCUGUGUGUGUGUGUGUGUGUGUGUGUGUGUGUGUGUGUGUGCUUACAUACAUCUACAAUUCCUUCUGGGACUAACAGGAGAUAUGCAUGUGUAACAAAGGGCAGAAUUUGGCCCUUGGAGUGUAGCAACUGUUUGAAUCAAUUCAGCAGUCAUUCUGGUAUAAUUGGCAGUAGCUCACACGCAGCCAUACCCAGCGGAACCUGGUUAAUUGCAUGAGGAACGUUCCGCUGGACACAGGGUUACCCUUGACUUAAAAAAAAAAGAAGAAAAAAGCAUCAUGGAAAUUUUUAAUUUCCACUAAGAGUAUCCCCAGAGCCAGGCAGGUGCAGUCUGUGGUGAUUCUGAGUGGGGGCAGGAUGUACCUGAAACCAGCUCCAGCUUUGCCCCCUUUAGAAGCUGGGACUCAACUUCCCUUCAAAAUUCCGUGGCUGUGUUCAGCUAUCCUGAGAAGAGCUGGCUAGCAAGGGAGGUUUUCAGUGUAAACAACAGUGGGAUCUGAAUCUAGAAGCUGGAAUGGAACCUCAAGCCACAUGUCGCUUGUGCAACCAAUGUGUGUGCCAAGAGAUCACAGUGCCCGGGCUCAGGAUGGAAGCAGCUUUCCUGUUAGCUACAUGCCAUGAGAAGGAAAGGAGAA